rnacentral:rRNA from 1 species
GACGAACGCUGGCGGCGUGCUUAACACAUGCAAGUCGAACGAUGAAGCUAGAGCUUGCUCUGGUGGAUUAGUGGCGAACGGGUGAGUAACACGUGAGUAACCUGCCCCGAACUCUGGGAUAACUGCUGGAAACGGUAGCUAAUACCGGAUCUGACCAAUGAAGGCAUCUUCUGUUGGUGGAAAGAAUUUCGGUUCGGGAUGGACUCGCGGCCUAUCAGCUUGUUGGUGGGGUAACGGCUCACCAAGGCGACGACGGGUAGCCGGCCUGAGAGGGUGAUCGGCCACACUGGGACUGAGACACGGCCCAGACUCCUACGGGAGGCAGCAGUGGGGAAUAUUGCACAAUGGGCGCAAGCCUGAUGCAGCAACGCCGCGUGAGGGACGACGGCCUUCGGGUUGUAAACCUCUUUUAGUAGGGAAGAAGCGAAAGUGACGGUACCUGCAGAAAAAGCACCGGCUAACUACGUGCCAGCCGCCGCCGUAA